GAUGAACGCUGGCGGCGUGCCUAAUACAUGCAAGUCGAGCGAACAGACGAGGAGCUUGCUCCUCUGACGUUAGCGGCGGACGGGUGAGUAACACGUGGAUAACCUACCUAUAAGACUGGGAUAACUUCGGGAAACCGGAGCUAAUACCGGAUAAUAUAUUGAACCGCAUGGUUCAAUAGUGAAAGACGGUUUUGCUGUCACUUAUAGAUGGAUCCGCGCCGCAUUAGCUAGUUGGUAAGGUAACGGCUUACCAAGGCGACGGUGCGUAGCCGACCUGAGAGGGUGAUCGGCCACACUGGAACUGAGACACGGUCCAGACUCCUACGGGAGGCAGCAGUAGGGAAUCUUCCGCAAUGGGCGAAAGCCUGACGGAGCAACGCCGCGUGAGUGAUGAAGGUCUUCGGAUCGUAAAACUCUGUUAUUAGGGAAGGACAAAUGUGUAAGUAACUAUGCUCGUCUUGACGGUACCUAAUCAGAAAGCCACGGCUAACUACGUG
rnacentral:rRNA from 1 species